UUAACAAACUCCGAACUCCGCCAGGAAAUUGGCUGGA
rnacentral:rRNA from 1 species